AAAUAGAUACCCGGGUAGUCCACCCCGUAAACGUUGGGAACUAGUUGUGGGGUCCUUUCCACGGAUUCCGUGACGCAGCUAACGCAUUAAGUUCCCCGCCUGGGGAGUACGGCCGCAAGGCUAAAACUCAAAGGAAUUGACGGGGACCCGCACAAGCGGCGGAGCAUGCGGAUUAAUUCGAUGCAACGCGAAGAACCUUACCAAGGCUUGACAUACACCAGAACACCCUAGAAAUAGGGGACUCUUUGGACACUGGUGAACAGGUGGUGCAUGGUUGUCGUCAGCUCGUGUCGUGAGAUGUUGGGUUAAGUCCCGCAACGAGCGCAACCCUCGUUCUAUGUUGCCAGCACGUAAUGGUGGGAACUCAUGGGAUACUGCCGGGGUCAACUCGGAGGAAGUGGGGAUGACGUCAAAUCAUCAUGCCCCUUAUGUCUUGGGCUUCACGCAUGCUACAAUGGCCGGUACAAAGGGCUGCAAUACCGUGAGGUGAGCGAACCCCAAAAGCCGGUCCAGUUCGGAUUGAGGUCUGCAACUCGACCUCAUGAAGUCGGU
rnacentral:rRNA from 1 species